rnacentral:tRNA from 3 species
GGGUCAAUAGCUCAGUUGGAUAGAGCAUACGCCUUCUAAGCGUAGGGUCGGGGGUUCGAAUCCCUCUUGUCCCACCA